UAGGGAAUCUUCGGCAAUGGACGGAAGUCUGACCGAGCAACGCCGCGUGAGUGAAGAAGGUUUUCGGGUCGUAAAGCUCUGUUGUAAGAGAAGAACGAGUGUGAGAGUGGAAAGUUCACACUGUGACGGUAUCUUACCAGAAAGGGACGGCUAACUACGUGCCAGCAGCCGCGGUAAUACGUAGGUCCCGAGCGUUGUCCGGAUUUAUUGGGCGUAAAGCGAGCGCAGGCGGUUAGAUAAGUCUGAAGUUAAAGGCUGUGGCUUAACCGUAGUAGGCUUUGGAAACUGUUUAACUUGAGUGCAAGAGGGGAGAGUGGAAUUCCAUGUGUAGCGGUGAAAUGCGUAGAUAUAUGGAGGAACACCGGUGGCGAAAGCGGCUCUCUGGCUUGUAACUGACGCUGAGGCUCGAAAGCGUGGGGAGCAAACAGGAUUAGAUACCCUGGUAGUCCACGCCGUAACGAUGAGUGCUAGGUGUUAGACCCUUUCCGGGGUUUAGUGCCGCAGCUAACGCAUUAAGCACUCCGCCUGGGGAGUACGACCGCAAGGUU
rnacentral:rRNA from 1 species